rnacentral:rRNA from 1 species
CCUACGGGAGGCAGCAGUGGGGAAUAUUCGUCAAUGGACGAGAGUCUGAACCAGCCAAGUAGCGUGAAGGAUGACUGCCCUAUGGGUUGUAAACUUCGUUUAUAAAGGAAUAAAACGAGGCACGUGUGCCUUUUUGCAUGUACUUUAUGAAUAAGGAUCGGCUAACCCCGUGCCAGCAGCCGCGGUAAUACGGAGGAUCCGAGCGUUAUCCGGAUUGAUUGGGUUUAAAGGGAGCGUAGAUGGGUUUUUAAGUCAGUUGUGAAAGUUUGCGGCUCAACCGUAAAAUUGCAAUUGAUACUGGCAGUCUUGAGUACAGUUGAGGUAGGCGGAAUUCGUGGUGUAGCGGUGAAAUGCUUAGAGAUCACGAAGAACCCCGAUUGCGAAGGCAGCUUACUAAACUGUGACUGACAUUGAUGCUCGAAAGUGUGGGUAUCAAACAGGAUUAGAUACCCUAGUAGUC